AGCGCGGGCGGGAAGCCAGAGAGCCAGGCGGCCUGAAGAACUCAGCCAGCGCAGCCGGAGCCGCGCGGUCAAGACCACACGACCGCAGCCCCGAAGCCCCGCCCCGAAGCCCCAGUCCCGCCCCUUAGGCUCCGCUCCGAAGCCCCGAAACCCCGCCCCUACGUCCCGCCUCCGCCCGCAGCCGGGGGUCCGCCCAACCCCAGGCCCAGUGCGUCCUCAGGGCUGGUGCCUCCACAGCUGUUUCUCCUUAGUCAUUUCACGAACUUGUAUGGGCCCCCCACUAUAUCUCAGGCCUGGGGGUUUAGGAGAUACAGCGGCCACCAAGACGGAGGCGGGUCCUAAUGAAAGGAGAAGACAGACAAGACUCAAGGAAACAGCUAAUAGACAAAAUAAUGACAAGUUAUGACCGUGGCCACCAAGUAUCCAGGCUCCUGUGGUAAAGAUACUGAUCCUGGUCUGCCCUGGGGCCAGGCUGACCUGGAGGGAGCUGUUUAUUAUUGCAGCUACACCUGUUACAGGAAGGAACCAAGCCCAGCAUGGUGCUGGGAGGGCAAAGGGGGACCAGCAGUUGACAAAACAAUGAAGUGUGGAGA